rnacentral:lncRNA from 10 species
GUAGCUAUAAGAUUGGAUUGUGCAGAUUCCUACAGACUGUGUUAAGGACUUUAAGCCGUAUCUCAAGUGCAAAUGUAAGACAUUGGAGAGCCUGAAACAGGAGACCAAGCCUGAAAAUUCGUUUGGUGUCUGAACUGUCUCCCUGACACUCUAGCAAAAAAACCCAGAUGAAAGGAUGAUUUCUUCCCAUCACCGUAACAGUGUUUGUGGAACAUCUCAGUUUGAAGAAUGCUUCAUCACAUAUUCAGGCUGGCCGUGGUCUCAUGGAUGGAGGGGCUUCCUGGCCUUGUGACAGACCCCCACCCACCCACCUCUGGAGAGAUGGACAGGCCCUCAGCACAGGAUUUCCUGGAACAUGAAGAUCAAUGGUGUUGAUAGGCUGUUGACAGAGUGUUGACCAUAAGCCCAUUAAACAGAAGGUGGAACCGCAAUUGUGGUCAAAGGCUCCCUCCCAAGAUGGCCAGAAGACAGCAGGGCUGAGAUGGGGGAAAAAGCUACCUUCUCCGGACUUUUCAUUUUCACGGCAUGAAGGUGACAUGGGUGAUCCUGGAAAGGAGAAAGAAAGUUUGAGAAAUGUGUUUUCCAGGAAGCUUUUCUAACCUCUCACAACCCUCUGGCAGAAAUAUCCAUUCCCUUCUCAUUCAUUUCCUCUCUCCAAGAAUUUUGAGCCUUUUUUUCAUUUGGGGCAUAUUCUAUUCUAUUUUAUUCAGCAUUGCUUAAUAAAAUUUGCACCACAGAGCAUGCUGAACAUUUUACAUUAGUUGUUGCAUUUAAUCAUCUUAAGAAUCCAUUAGGUAAGUACUACUUAUCAUUAUUCCAUAUUUAACCGUUGUUGAAACCAAGGUACUUGCUUGAGCUUCCAAAAUUACUCAAUAGCAAAGCCAGAACCUAAAUUCGGGUGGUGGGACAGAAAUUCUUAACCCUUACUUCACACUAUAUUUGUUUGGCUUAUUAGGUCUCCCUUUGUGCUCUUUUGUUUAAAAAAAACAAAACAAAACAAAACAAUAGUUUAAUUUUUUAAUUAUUGUUUUAUUUUUUUGAGACAGGGUCUUCCUCUAUCACCCAGGGUAAGUGCAGUGGUGCAAUCAUGGCUCACUGCAGCCUCAACCUCCCCAGUUCAAACAAUCCUCCCACCUCAGCCUCCCAAGCAGCUGAGAAUACAGGCAUGUGCCACCAUGGCUGGCUGAUGUUUCUUUUUUGUAAAUUUUGGUAGAGAUGAGGUUUUGCUUUGUUGCCCAGGCUGGUCUCAAACUCCCGGCCUCAAGCAGUCCUCCUGCCUCAGCCUUCCAAAGCACUGGGGUUGCAUGCAUGAGUCAUCAUGUCCCGCCUCCCCUUGUUCUCUAACCUCCUUUAUCAGGUAUAACUGGAUUCAGUUGCUUCUAGGAGAAACUCCAAAUAACAGUAAAUUAAGGUGAAGUUUAUCUUUCUCUAAUGUAAAAAAGAUCCAGAAACAGGUAGGCUUUGAUUAGUGUGGUAGCUCGAUGAAGGUAUUGGGAGCCCAUCUCUCUCCUUCCAAAUCCGUUAUGCAUCCAUGGCUCCUGUUCUCGUGGUACAAAAUAGCCCCUGGAGAUCCAGCCAUCGCUUACAUGUUCCAGGUGGUAUGAUGAAUAAAGGAGCAAAGAAGGCUGUAUCUCCUGUCUUUAAGAUUUUCCAGAGAUCUCACAUCAUACUUACACUCAUAUAUAGUUGGUCAAAACAUAGUCACAUUCACUCUUUAUACCUACAUCCUUGGCAAGAUCCACUUCUCAUCAAGCCUGAGCUAUUACAGUAUUUCCCUAAAUUGUUUCCCAGACUCAGUCUCUCCCUGUUCUCAUCCUGACCCUGUACUGCUAUCAGGACAGUUUUCUUUGAACUAUGCUUUGUCAUCCCAGUCCCUAGAUAUGAAGCACUCAGGGGACCUUCUUUAUCUCUAAGAUUACAUCUGAAUUCCAUUUUCUGCUAAAAAAUGCCUGCCUCCUUUCCCAUUAUGUGGCAUGCCUUUCUCCACCUUUUUUCUUCACUUCACAUCAUCCUCUCUGGCCUAAAAUGUCUUUACUCCUUUGUCUCAUUGGGUCUAAAUCUCAUGUCUCCUUUAAUAUGCAUUUCAAAUUCUACCUCAUUCAUAGUCAUUCAUUCACUGAGCAAAUGUUGUUUAUGAUGAUAUGUAAAGCACUGAGAAAUGGCUAACAGAUCGUAGAAGGUGACUAUUAUUAUCAUUAAGAGUAAUUAUAGUAAAAGUGGUAAUAGUGUGUAUAGCCUGUUUCUUGGGCUCUGGAUUAGGAAUUGGGUCAUUCGCUUUUCAGUAAUCCAGCAGCUACGGUAUGAGAAGUGAGGGUUUGGUUUUUUUUUUUUUUUUUUUAAUAUAUAAUGAUAAUGGUGAGUAUGUCGCCUUGAGAGAAAGAAUUUCCUUUUAUAUGAUAGGGCUUAUCUUUGGGACUCCAGACAGAGAUCCAAGUUCAAUAUGGUCUUCUAAUCCUUGGGAAGUAAUUGCCUCCACUCUGGUCUUGAAUUUAGAAAGUGUUAACUUAAUAAGAUAGAAUGGCAUUUUACUCAUUUACGGUUGUAUUAUGUAUCCUGAUCGUAAUAUGUGAGUUAAUAUUUG